GUGGGGAAUUUUGGACAAUGGGCGAAAGCCUGAUCCGGCCAUGCCGCGUGUGUGAAGAAGGCCUUCGGGUUGUAAAGCACUUUUGUUGGGGAAGAAAACCUGUUGGUUAAUACCCGAUGGGAAUGACGGUACCCAAAGAAUAAGCACCGGCUAACUUCGUGCCAGCAGCCGCGGUAAUACGAAGGGUGCAAGCGUUACUCGGAAUUACUGGGCGUAAAGCGUGCGUAGGUGGUUCGUUAAGUCUGCCGUGAAAGCCCCGGGCUCAACCUGGGAAUUGCGGUGGAUACUGGCGGACUAGAGUGCGGUAGAGGGUGGUGGAAUUCCCGGUGUAGCAGUGAAAUGCGUAGAGAUCGGGAGGAACAUCUGUGGCGAAGGCGGCCACCUGGACCAGCACUGACACUGAGGCACGAAAGCGUGGGGAGCAAACAGGAUUAGAAACCCCUGUAGUCC
rnacentral:rRNA from 1 species